rnacentral:rRNA from 1 species
CGCUAAUACAUGCAGUCGAACGGGCGGUAGCAAUACCGCUAGUGGCGCACGGGUGCGUAACGCGUAGGCAAUCUGCCUACUCCUGGGGGAUAGCCCGCCGAAAGGUGGAUUAAUACCGCAUAAGACUACAGAGCGGCAUCGUUUAGUAGUUAAAGAAUUUCGGGAGUAGAUGAGCCUGCGUGCCAUUAGCUAGUUGGCGGGGUAAGGGCCCACCAAGGCGACGAUGGCUAGGGGAGCUGAGAGGCCGAUCCCCCACACUGGCACUGAGAUACGGGCCAGACUCCUACGGGAGGCAGCAGUAGGGAAUAUUGGGCAAUGGAGGAGACUCUGACCCAGCCAUGCCGCGUGACGGAUGAAGGCCUUCUGGGUUGUAAACGUCUUUUGCCCGGGAAGAAAAAACUCUUGCGAGAGGAAUCGACGGUACCGGGUGAAUAAGCACCGGCUAACUCCGUGCCAGCAGCCGCGGUAAUACGGAGGGUGCAAGCGUUGUCCGGAUUUAUUGGGUUUAAAGGGUGCGUAGGUGGCCCUGCAAGUCCGUGGUGAAAGCCUGCUGCUCAACAGCAGAACUGCCAUGGAUACUACAGGGCUUGAGUCCAGACGAGGUUGGCGGAAUGGAUGGUGUAGCGGUGAAAUGCAUAGAUACCAUCCAGAACCCCGAUUGCGUAGGCAGCUGACUAGGCUGGUACUGACACUGAGGCACGAAAGCGUGGGGAGCGAACAGAUUAGAUACCCUGGUACACGCCAAAUGGGAUGCUCGCUGUGGGCGAUACACAGUCCGCGGCUUAGCGAAAGCGUUAAGUAUCCCACCUGGGGAGUACGCCGGCAACGGUGAAACUCAAAGGAAUUGACGGGGGCCCGCACAAGUGGUGGAGCAUGUGGUUUAAUUCGAUGAUACGCGAGGAACCUUACCGAGGCUAGAAUGCGCGUGACCGGUUCAGAGAUGGACCUUUCCUUCGGGACACAAAGCAAGGUGCUGCAUGGCCGUCGUCAGCUCGUGCCGUGAGGUGUUGGGUUAAGUCCCGCAACGAGCGCAACCCCUAUGUUUAGUUGCCAGCGGAUUAUGCCGGGGACUCUGACGACUGCCUGCCAAGCAGCGAGGAAGGCGGGACGACGUCAGGUCAUCAUGGCCUUACGCCUCGGGCUACCCGUGCUACAAUGGACGUACGAGGGUCGCCACCUGGCAACGGGGAGCCAAUCUCAAAAGCCGUCUCAGUUCGAUCGGGAGUCUGCCAACUGACUCCGUGAAGCUGGAAUCACUAGUAAUCGCGUAUCAGCAACGACGCGGUGAAUACGUUCCCGGGCCUUGUACACACCGCCCGUCAAGCCAUGGAAGUCUGGUGGACCUGAAGCUGGUGCUCGUCACAGAAGCCAGUUAGGGUAAAACGUACGGGCUAUCGAACAAGGUAACCAA